ACCAGCCUCAUUUCAAAUGCCAUUGGCCAUAUGAAGAUAGUGACUGUCACACUGGAUGGCAGCAGAUCUAGAUAAACAACAUACUGAUUGGAUCAGCCACAAAAAGUGAAAAGUCAUCUUAGAUAUUUGAUGUUUUGCUUCCCCCUUGCCAGCUAAUUGGAUCACAGAUUUUUAUUUAUAAAAAUAAGAAAAAUAGCUGAAUUGUUGAAAAUGAAGGCAGUCAUUGGGUCAAGUUUCAAAUUUCUUUGACGUACUGAAUCACAGGCAAGAAGUCCACUGUUGGCCAAACAGGACUCCUCAGCUCAAAGUCUCUUCUAUCUUCACGUUUGCCUGAUCCCAGUGCCCCCAAAUCUCUCGACCCAUCUGGAGGAAUUCCCAAUUUCUUUGCAUGAAUCUCUGCUUCUACCAAUCCAGUUUGCAAGAUGCAACUCUGCUUUGAGACCCUGAAGCCUGAGUAGUCAUUUCUCUUCACCUCUGAAACAUGGUUUUCUGCUCCAGUGUUCUGAAACAUAACCAUAUACUGUUUUCUUUUUUUAGAAAACCUUUUUCACACGUGGACUUGAAUCCCAACUAGAAUACAGAAGAAAAGCAAGAAUGAUAUUAUGCUUUUCUGUUAUAAGCAAGCUCCCCUUGGCCUCAGCAGGAUAAGGGAUGUAACCUUCUUUCUUAAAUUGCUUUGACCUGCUCUGAAUAAAGCCAGAAAAAUCUGCCAGUGCCUUAGGAAGAUAUGCUGAUUCACUCAGACUAUCCUGUUAUUGACAGAAAUAAUGUUAUGAUUUGUUAGUUAAAACAGGGCAUAAUUUUCAUAAGACUAUUCAAGUUUAAAUGUUUUCAUUCGAGUUACUUCCUAUAUUUACUUACAGUCUUCUUUCUUCAGGUAUUUACUUAGUGCUGACAUACAAGAACAGAUAGAAUUUGUGUGUUUGUAUAAAUGUUGCCAGGCACUAUUGUGGGGAUAAUAACUGAAACUUUUAUGCAAAUUAUUGAGCAACUUUUGCAAUACUUAGUCUUUUUUCCCAACCCGUAAGUCAAGGAAGAUCUGUCUCAAAUGACUCUAAUCGGACUUAGAGAUUUAAAUCCCUUCUCAUCUGACUUCAGUUCUGGCCACUCCCCAAUUAAAGGCUUUCCAAUGAGACCCUUUUACUUCUUGCUAAAUCAUUGGAGAGAGUUUUUAUUACCUUAAAUCUAAAGGUAAUAACUCACAUGCCAACAUUCACUAUGCUUUCAAAUGAGGAGUGACACCCACAGACUUUCAGAAUUUUGGUAAUAAGAUACUAAGCAGGAUAAACAAAAAUGAUGAUGGAGAAGUUCUUCGGUUAAAUAUUUUCUCCAAGGCCAAUCAUUCAUUUCUUGCUGAAUAAAUGAAUUUAUUAAUAAACUGAACAUAGUCUCAUUCUUCUCUCUUCAUGACAAGAAAAAUUACAUAAAUUCUGAGAACCACUACUCAUAGAAGAAUAGCCAGGAUACAAUUUACUGACCAAAAAAGUUCUUAAGUAAAUUCUUAUUUAGGACACUCUUUCUCCAGUAAAUGUCAUAUUCAUGCUGAUUACUCCCCUCACACCACAGCAAAACGCCUGCUAUGAUGUUGGUCAAUACUUCUAUUUAUUUUAGCCUACCUGCAGGCAUGCAAAACACCAUCCCAUCACGUUAAAGGUGAUAAAAUAUAAGUAAGAACACACUGUCUCUCAGUCCUGCCACUUUUGGCAUCACAAUCUCUCUAGAAGUUUUACUAAUUUCUGAGUCCAGUGAAAGUUCCGUAAAAAACCUGGUCACCUUUCAACUACAGCGUCUCACAAUUUGCCACAGCUUCCUGUUCUCUAGGGCAUCUCAUACUGUACCCUGCCCACCGAAUUCUUACAGCUAAGAUACCAAUAUAUACACCUCUGAUUGAAAAAAAGAAAUCUUAAAAGUCUCACAAAACAAUGGGGAAUACUGAACUCUUGUAUGCUACUAUUUGCUCUAUAAAUUGGUAGAGUUAUUUCAGACAGCAAUCUUGUAAGAUUUAGUCAAAUUGAAGAGACAUAAACAAAAGAAUCCCAGCAAUUCCAUUCCUGAGUAUAUGAGCAGAAGGAAAUAUGCACAGAGCUACAUUGUAAUAUCUUUGUUAUAGAUAAAAUUUAGAAUAUAUAUCCAUAUGUACUAAUGUGGGAGAAAUAAUAAAUAAAUUGUGGUAU